CCUCCAUUUCUUGGCAUACACGUGGUGGUUCAGUACUCGUGUUUGUAUGUUUGGAGGUAGAAUGAAGCCAAUGCUAUGUCUUCGGUGCUGGCGUUGUCUCGUAUGCCGGUUCUAUCCUCAAUCGCUGGUACAUAC
rnacentral:snoRNA from 1 species